UUCCACAAUGGACGCAAGUCUGAUGGAGCAACGCCGCGUGAGUGAAGAAGGCUUUCGGGUCGUAAAACUCUGUUGUUGGAGAAGAAUGGUCGGCAGAGUAACUGUUGUCGGCGUGACGGUAUCCAACCAGAAAGCCACGGCUAACUACGUGCCAGCAGCCGCGGUAAUACGUAGGUGGCAAGCGUUAUCCGGAUUUAUUGGGCGUAAAGCGAGCGCAGGCGGUUUUUUAAGUCUGAUGUGAAAGCCCUCGGCUUAACCGAGGAAGCGCAUCGGAAACUGGGAAACUUGAGUGCAGAAGAGGACAGUGGAACUCCAUGUGUAGCGGUGAAAUGCGUAGAUAUAUGGAAGAACACCAGUGGCGAAGGCGGCUGUCUGGUCUGUAACUGACGCUGAGGCUCGAAAGCAUGGGUAGCGAACAGGAUUAGAUACCCUGGUAGUCCAUGCCGUAAACGAUGAAUGCUAGGUGUUGGAGGGUUUCCGCCCUUCAGUGCCGCAGCUAACGCAUUAAGCAUUCCGCCUGGGGAGUACGACCGCAAGGUUGAAACUCAAAGGAAUUGACGGGGGCCCGCACAAGCGGUGGAGCAUGUGGUUUAAUUCGAAGCA
rnacentral:rRNA from 2 species